AGUGUUGAUAAAAUAUUGCAUCAAUUUAUUUCUUCAAGUUGAUCAAUUCAUACGAAUUCAAAUUUUUUAUACUACUGUGCGUUUCCUAUUUGUCAAUACGACAUCUAAUUGGCUUAUCUAGAAGUAACAUCAAAUGAAUUGAUCAACUUGAGGAAAGGAAUUGGUGCAAUAUUUUAUCAACACU